CCUAUAAUGCAAGCCGAGCGAGCCGAACUAAUUGAUUACCUUCGGGUAUGAAGUUAGGGAAGCGAGCGGCGGAUGGGUGAGUAACACGUGGGUAACCUACCCUAUAGUCUGGGAUACCACUUGGAAACAGGUGCUAAUACCGGAUAAAAGGAGAGAUCACAUGAUUUCUUUUUGAAAGGCGGCGUAAGCUGUCGCUAAAGGAUGGACCCGCGGUGCACUAGCUAGUUGGUAAGGUAACGGCUUACCAAGGCAACGAUGCAUAGCCGAGUUGAGAGACUGAUCGGCCACAUUGGGACUGAGACACGGCCCAAACUCCUACGGGAGGCAGCAGUAGGGAAUCUUCCACAAUGGACGCAAGUCUGAUGGAGCAACGCCGCGUGAGUGAAGAAGGUUUUCGGAUCGUAAAGCUCUGUUGUUGGUGAAGAAAGAUAGUGAGAGUAACUGCUCAUUAUUUGCCGGUAAUCAACCAGAAAGUCACGGCUAACUACGUGCCAGCAGCCGCGGUAAUACGUAGGUGGCAAGCGUUGUCCGGAUUUAUUGGGCGUAAAGCGAGCGCAGGCGGAAAGAUAAGUCAGAUGUGAAAGCCCUCGGCUUAACCGAGGAAUAGCAUCGGAAACUGUCUUUCUUGAGUGCAGAAGAGGAGAGUGGAACUCCAUGUGUAGCGGUGGAAUGCGUAGAUAUAUGGAAGAACACCAGUGGCGAAGGCGGCUCUCUGGUCUGUAACUGACGCUGAGGCUC
rnacentral:rRNA from 1 species